UACGUGGGGGGCAAGCGUUGUUCGGAAUUACUGGGCGUAAAGGGCUCGUAGGCGGCCAACUAAGUCAGACGUGAAAUCCCCAGGCUCAACCUGGGAACUGCGUCUGAUACUGGAUGGCUUGAGAUUGGGAGAGGGAUGCGGAAUUCCAGGCGUAGCGGUGAAAUGCGUAGAUAUCUGGAGGAACACCGGUGGCGAAGGCGGCAUCCUGGACCAACACUGACGCUGAGGAGCGAAAGCGUGGGGAGCAAACAGG
rnacentral:rRNA from 1 species